CCUACGGGAGGCAGCAGUGGGGGAUAUUGCACAAUGGGGGAAACCCUGAUGCAGCGACGCCGCGUGAGUGAAGAAGUAUUUCUGUAUGUAAAGCUCUAUCAGCAGGGAAGAAAAUGACAGUACCUGACCAAGAAGCCCCGGCUAACUACGUGCCAGCAGCCGCGGUAAUACGUAGGGGGCAAGCGUUAUCCGGAUUUACUGGGUGUAAAGGGAGCGUAGACGGUUAUGUAAGUCUGGAGUGAAAGCCCGGGGCCCAACCCCGGGACUGAUUUGGAAACUGGGGAACUGGAGUGCAGGAGGGGCAGGCGGAAUUCCUGGUGUAGCGGUGAAAUGCGUAGAUAUCAGGAGGAACACCGGCGGCGAAGGCGGCCUGCUGGACUGAAACUGACGUUGAGGCUCGAAAGCGUGGGGAGCAAACAGGAUUAGAUACCCCGGUAGUC
rnacentral:rRNA from 1 species